rnacentral:rRNA from 1 species
AUUCCAGCUCCAAUAGCGUAUAUUAAAGUUGUUGCGGUUAAAAAGCUCGUAGUUGGAGUUCUGCCAGGUGACGCUCGUCCGCCCAAGUGGUGUGUACAGGGCGUGCAUCUGGCCCUUUCAAGGGGAACGUGUCUGCUCUUUAUUGAGUGGUGCGAGAUCCUUGACUUUUACUUUGAGGAAAUCAGAGUGUUCCAAGCAGGCUCUCGUCGUGUAUAGCUCAGCAUGGAAUAAUAGCAUUGGACUUCGUUUCUAAGCUGUUGGUUGCAAGAAGCGAGGUAAUGAUUAAUAGGAGCAGUUGGGGAUGUCCGUAUUCGAUUGUCAGAGGUGAAAUUCUUGGAUUUAUUGAAGACGAACUACCGCGAAAGCAUUCAUCAAGGAUGUUUUCAUCA